UACGUAGGGCGCAAGCGUUAUCCGGAAUUAUUGGGCGUAAAGAGCUCGUAGGCGGUUUGUCGCGUCUGCCGUGAAAGUCCGGGCUCAACUCCGGAUCUGCGGUGGGUACGGGCAGACUAGAGUGAUGUAGGGGAGACUGGAAUUCCUGGUGUAGCGGUGAAAUGGCGCAGAUAUCAGGAGGAACACCGAUGGCGAAGGCAGGUCUCUGGGCCACUACUGACGCUGAGAAGCGAAAGCAUGGGGAGCGAACAGG
rnacentral:rRNA from 1 species